rnacentral:rRNA from 1 species
AUACGGAGGGUCCAAGCGUUAUCCGGAAUCAUGGGGUUUAAAGGGUCCGCAGGCGGUCAAUUAAGUCAGAGGUGAAAGCCCAUCGCUCAACGAUGGAACUGCCUUUGAUACUGGUUGACUUGAGUUAUACGGAAGUAGAUAGAAUAAGUAGUGUAGCGGUGAAAUGCAUAGAUAUUACUUAGGAUACCGAUUGCGAAGGCAGUCUACUACGUAUAUACUGACGCUGAGGGACGAAAGCGUGGGGAGCGAACAGGAUUAGAAACCCCAGUAGUCC